ACGGGAGGCAGCAGUGGGGAAUAUUGGACAAUGGGGGGAACCCUGAUCCAGCGACGCCGCGUGAGUGAAGAAGUAUUUCGGUAUGUAAAGCUCUUUAAGCAGGAAGGAAGAUGACGGUACCUGCAGAAUAAGCCCCGGCUAACUACGUGCCAGCAGCUGCGGUAAUACGUAGGGGGCAAGCGUUAUCCGGAUUUACUGGGUGUAAAGGGAGCGUAGACGGCAAUGCAAGUCUGAAGUGAAAGCCCGUGGCUUAACUGCGGGACUGCUUUGGAAACUGUGAAGCUAGAGUGCAGGAGAGGUAAGUGGAAUUCCUAGUGUAGCGGUGAAAUGCGUAGAUAUUAGGAGGAACACCAGUGGCGAAGGCGGCUUACUGGACUGUAACUGACGUUGAGGCUCGAAAGCGUGGGGAGCAAACAGGAUUAGAUACCCUGGUA
rnacentral:rRNA from 1 species